UACAGAGGGUGCAAGCGUUGUUCGGAAUUACUGGGCGUAAAGCGUGCGCAGGCGGUUCGUUGUGUCUGUGGUGAAAGCCCCGGGCUUAACCCUGGGAAUGGCCAUGGAAACUGGCGAGCUGGAGUGUGGCAGAGGGGGGUGGGAAUUCCGCGUGUAGCAGUGAAAUGCGUAGAGAUGCGGAGGAACACCGAUGGCGAAGGCAGCCCCCUGGGUUGACACUGACGCUCAGGCACGAAAGCGUGGGGAGCAAACAGG
rnacentral:rRNA from 1 species